AUGCUGCUUGUGGUUUCUGCUGUGUUGACUGACAGAUCUGAGUCCUGCAUGCAGGAGGUUUUUGUACGACCACUUAAUGAGUUUGUAUCACUGUGGUACACUUUUGGUGGAGGAACCAAACUCACCGUUGACUUGGGUGUGGUGCGGCCCACCCUGACCGUCCUCCCCCCCUCCAAAGAGGAGGUGCAGCAGGGCAGUGCCACACUGCUGUGUCUGGCCAGCGGGGGCUCUCCCUCAACCUGGAGGCUGGACUGGAAGGUGGGGGGCAGCAGCAGCAGCUCCUCAGAGGUGUCACACAGCCCGGAGGUCCUGGGGAGGGACGGCCACUACAGCUGGAGCAGCACCCUGAGCCUCUCUGCAGACCGCUGGAGGAAGGCGGGCUCAGUGAUCUGUGAGGCCAGUCUGAAUGGACAGACCCCUGUCACUCAAAGCCUGGACCCUGACCGCUGCUCAGAGUAGAGCUUCAGCAACACUUCCUGUCUGGAAAUGAUGCUUCUUUUUCUUUGCUCCAG